rnacentral:rRNA from 1 species
CAGUAGGGAAUCUUCCACAAUGGGCGAAAGCCUGAUGGAGCAACGCCGCGUGAGUGAAGAAGGAUUUCGGUUCGUAAAACUCUGUUGUAAGGGAAGAACAAGUACAGUAGUAACUGGCUGUACCUUGACGGUACCUUAUUAGAAAGCCACGGCUAACUACGUGCCAGCAGCCGCGGUAAUACGUAGGUGGCAAGCGUUGUCCGGAAUUAUUGGGCGUAAAGCGCGCGCAGGUGGUUUCUUAAGUCUGAUGUGAAAGCCCACGGCUCAACCGUGGAGGGUCAUUGGAAACUGGGAGACUUGAGUGCAGAAGAGGAUAGUGGAAUUCCAAGUGUAGCGGUGAAAUGCGUAGAGAUUUGGAGGAACACCAGUGGCGAAGGCGA